AUUGAACGCUGGCGGCAGGCCUAACACAUGCAAGUCGAGCGGAUGAAGGGAGCUUGCUCCUGGAUUCAGCGGCGGACGGGUGAGUAAUGCCUAGGAAUCUGCCUGGUAGUGGGGGAUAACGUCCGGAAACGGGCGCUAAUACCGCAUACGUCCUGAGGGAGAAAGUGGGGGAUCUUCGGACCUCACGCUAUCAGAUGAGCCUAGGUCGGAUUAGCUAGUUGGUGGGGUAAAGGCCUACCAAGGCGACGAUCCGUAACUGGUCUGAGAGGAUGAUCAGUCACACUGGAACUGAGACACGGUCCAGACUCCUACGGGAGGCAGCAGCAGGGAAUAUUGGACAAUGGGCGAAAGCCUGAUCCAGCCAUGCCGCGUGUGUGAAGAAGGUCUUCGGAUUGUAAAGCACUUUAAGUUGGGAGGAAGGGCAGUAAGUUAAUACCUUGCUGUUUUGACGUUACCAACAGAAUAAGCACCGGCUAACUUCGUG
rnacentral:rRNA from 1 species